rnacentral:rRNA from 1 species
CGAAAGCCUGACGGAGCAACGCCGCGUGAGGGAGGAAGGCCCUUGGGUUGUAAACCUCUUUUCUGGGGGAAGAAGUAAUGACGGUACCCCAGGAAUAAGCAUCGGCUAACUCCGUGCCAGCAGCCGCGGUAAUACGGAGGAUGCAAGCGUUAUCCGGAAUCAUUGGGCGUAAAGCGUCCGCAGGUGGCUAUUCAAGUCUGCUGUCAAAGCAUGGAGCUUAACUCCAUAGAGGCAGUGGAAACUGAAAGGCUAGAGGCCGGUAGGGGUAGUGGGAAUUCCCAGUGUAGCGGUGAAAUGCGUAGAGAUUGGGAAGAACAUCGGUGGCGAAAGCGCACUACUGGGCAGGACCUGACACUGAGGGACGAAAGCUAGGGGAGCAAAAGGGAUUAGAUACCCCUGUAGUCCUAGCCGUAAACGAUGGAGACUAGGCGUAGCUUGUAUCGACCCAAGCUGUGCCGAAGCUAACGCGUUAAGUCUCCCGCCUGGGGAGUACGCACGCAAGUGUGAAACUCAAAGGAAUUGACGGGGGCCCGCACAAGCGGUGGAGUAUGUGGUUUAAUUCGAUGCAACGCGAAGAACCUUACCAGGGCUUGACAUCUGGCGAAUUUGGGGGAAACCUCGGAGUGCCUUCGGGAGCGCCAAGACAGGUGGUGCAUGGCUGUCGUCAGCUCGUGUCGUGAGAUGUUGGGUUAAGUCCCGCAACGAGCGCAACCCUCGUUUUUAGUUGCCAUCAUUAAGUUGGGCACUCUAGAGAGACUGCCGGUGACAAACCGGAGGAAGGUGGGGAUGACGUCAAGUCAGCAUGCCCCUUACGUCCUGGGCUACACACGUACUACAAUGGUCGGGACAGAGGGCAGCAAACUCGCAAGAGCAAGCGAAUCUUAUCAAACUCGGCCUCAGUUCAGAUUGCAGGCUGCAACUCGCCUGCAUGAAGGAGGAAUCGCUAGUAAUCGCCGGUCAGCAUACGGCGGUGAAUUCGUUCCCGGGCCUUGUACACACCGCCCGUCACACCAUGGGAGCUGGCCACGCCCGAAGUCGUUACCCUAACCCGAAAGGGAGGGGGAUGCCGAAGGCAGGGCUAGUGACUGGGGUGAAGUCGUAACAAGGUAGCCGUACCGGAAGGUGUGGCUGGAUCACCUCCUUU